rnacentral:misc_RNA from 1 species
GCCCAUCAAUCAUUAUUAUAAAAUACAUUCACAUUUUCAAGGUUAUUCUACCAACGAGUAUAACCAUAUAUAAGAAAACCUGUUCUCCAUGUUAAACAUCUUCUAUUGCAAUUCAGAGGCAUCGAAGGAUUAGCAAUCCUAGUAGAAAGUCCAAAUCCUGAAAUUUCAACUUCUGCCCUAAAAUCCAAAACCUAAAGUAACUAAAUCAAACCUAAAAUACAUCAGCAUUCUUA